CAGAGGAAAGGAGAGAGAGACCAGCAAGAAACAGAGUACCCGAUUCUCCUCAUCUCUCCGCCGCCAACCACCGCAUCGUCUCCCUCCUCCGACCCACCUUGCCGCCGGCCGUCCCCCUCCCUCUCCUCCCACCUCGCGGCUUCGGAGUCCGCUGGAUCUGCCGCAUCACCCACCCACCCAUCCCUCUCGUGUCCCAUAUCUCUCUUCACGCAGCUCGUCGCUGCACACCUGCGCCGGCUACUCAGGCGACGGCCAGUGAAUCCUGCCACCGCGAAGCACAGCCCAAGGUCCCCUCGCAACGCGGCGCCCUCCGGUACAGAUAGAGGCGGCGCUGGCGACCACGAAAGCCCACACGGGACCCGGUGUCUAUGUCGUCCUCCUCUCGUCCGUUGUUCUGCAGGUAUCUAGAGUUGCGUUCAAGUUGCUGAGAAUCAGAGGUUUUUCCGCUUGGAUGAUGGUCUUGGGAUCACAAGUGCAGUAUGUUUGGGCUAGUGCCUAAAUAGGAGCCAUUGUUGUUCUGCUGGUGUUAGGAUUUGCCUAAAUAGGAGCCAUGGAGCAAGUCUGAGUUCGUAGAUCAAGUCAUGGACGAUGCCAUCAAAGAUUCAAAAGAUAUAUGGAUGAUUAUAUGGGUGCGUGGCAAGUAUACUGCAGUAAUGAUGAUGAUGUUCCAGUUCAUGAUGCUGAUGAUGGAUGCUUCCAGUUUUAGUUAAGUUGUAGGGAUAUUGUUCCUGUUGGAUGAUGUUCCUCGGUCAACUUUUAGUGAUGUUGAUGUAUGCUUUCAGUUUAAGUUUCGAUGUUAAGAAAAUAUUUAGAUUCUGCAUCACAUUUGGAUGAUGUUCCUCUUGUAAUAUCCACUAUUGUAAUCCAACAAUUUUAUCCAAUAUAUGAUUUGUUCC